UGGUGGGGUGACUUGUCUGCUUAAUUGCGAUAACGAACGAGACCUUAACCUGCUAAAUAGCCCGCAUUGCUUCGGCAGUGCGCUGGCUUCUUAGAGGGACUUUCGGCUCAAGCCGAAGGAAGUUUGAGGCAAUAACA
rnacentral:rRNA from 1 species